CCUACGGGAGGCUGCAGUGAGGAAUAUUGGUCAAUGGCCGGAAGGCUGAACCAGCCAUGCCGCGUGAAGGUCAGUGCCCUAUGGGCGUUAAACUUCUUUUGUUCGGGAGCCAUAAUGGUCACGUGUGGCCAGACGAGAGUACCGUACGAAUAAGCAUCGGCUAACCCCGUGCCAGCAGCCGCGGUAAUACGGGGGAGGCAAGCGUUAUCCGGAUUUAUUGGGGUUUAAGGGUGCGUAGGCGGGGAGGUAAGUCAGCGGUGAAAUGCCCCCGCUCAACGGGGUGAAGUGCCAUUGAUACUGCCUUGCUGGAAUGCGGAUGCCGUGGGAGGAAUGUGUGGUGUAGCGGUGAAAUGCAUAGAUAUCACACAGAACACCGAUUGCGAAGGCAUCUCACGAAUCCGCGAUUGACGCUGAGGCACGAAAGCGUGGGUAUCAAACAGGAUUAGAUACCCGUGUAGUC
rnacentral:rRNA from 1 species